UACGUAGGGUGCGAGCGUUGUCCGGAAUUAUUGGGCGUAAAGGGCUCGUAGGCGGUCUGUCGCGUCGGUAGUGAAAACUCAGGGCUUAACCCUGAGCCUGCUUCCGUUACGGGCAGACUAGAGGUAUGCAGGGGAGAAUGGAAUUCCUGGUGUAGCGGUGAAAUGCGCAGAUAUCAGGAGGAACACCGGUGGCGAAGGCGGCAUCCUGGACCAACACUGACGCUGAGGAGCGAAAGCCAGGGGAGCAAACGGG
rnacentral:rRNA from 1 species